UGGGGAAUUUUGGACAAUGGGGGAAACCCUGAUCCAGCCAUCCCGCGUGUGCGAUGAAGGCCUUCGGGUUGUAAAGCACUUUUGGCAGGAAAGAAACGUCGCGGAUUAAUACCCCGCGAAACUGACGGUACCUGCAGAAUAAGCACCGGCUAACUACGUGCCAGCAGCCGCGGUAAUACGUAGGGUGCAAGCGUUAAUCGGAAUUACUGGGCGUAAAGCGUGCGCAGGCGGUUCGGAAAGAAAGAUGUGAAAUCCCAGAGCUUAACUUUGGAACUGCAUUUUAACUACCGGCUAGAGUGUGUCAGAGGGAGGUGGAAUUCCGCGUGUAGCAGUGAAAUGCGUAGAUAUGCGGAGGAACACCGAUGGCGAAGGCAGCCUCCUGGGAUAACACUGACGCUCAUGCACGAAAGCGUGGGGAGCAAACAGGAUUAGAUACCCUGGUAGUCCACGCCCUAAACGAUGUCAACUAGCUGUUGGGGCCUUCGGGCCUUGGUAGCGCCAGCUAACGCGUGAAGUUGACCGCCUGGGGAGUACGGUCGCAAGAUUAAAACUCAAAUGAAUUGACGGGGGUCAUAGCUGUUUUCC
rnacentral:rRNA from 1 species